CCUACGGGAGGCAGCAGUGGGGGAUAUUGCACAAUGGGGGAAACCCUGAUGCAGCAACGCCGCGUGAGUGAAGAAGUCUUUCGGUAUGUAAAGCUCUUUCAGCAGGGAAGAGAAUGACUGUACCUGACUAAGAAGCCCCGGCUAACUACGUGCCAGCAGCCGCGGUAAUACGUAGGGCGCGAGCGUUAUCCGGAUUUACUGGGUGUAAAGGGAGCGUAGACGGCUGGUCAAGUCGGAAGUGAAAGCCCGGGGCUUAACCCCGGAACGGCUUUGGAAACUGAGAAGCUAGAGUGCUGGAGAGGUAAGCGGAAUGCGUGGUGUAGCGGUGAAAUGCGUAGAUAUUAGGCGGAACGCCAGUGGCGAAGGCAGCUUACUGGACAGUAACUGACGUUGAGGCUCGAAAGCGUGGGGAGCAAACAGGAUUAGAUACCCGUGUAGUC
rnacentral:rRNA from 1 species